GAGUUUGAUCCUGGCUCAGGACGAACGCUGGCGGCGUGCUUAACACAUGCAAGUCGAGCGGUAAGGCCCCUUCGGGGGUACACGAGCGGCGAACGGGUGAGUAACACGUGAGCAAUCUGCCCAUCACAUCGGGAUAACUCCGGGAAACCGAAGCUAAUACCGAAUACGACCACCUCCGGCAUCGGAUGGUGGUGGAAAGUUCCGGCGGUGAUGGAUGAGCUCGCGGCCUAUCAGCUUGUUGGUGGGGUAACGGCCCACCAAGGCUUCGACGGGUAGCCGGCCUGAAAGGGUGACCGGCCACACUGGGACUGAGACACGGCCCAGACUCCUACGGGAGGCAGCAGUGGGGAAUAUUGGACAAUGGGCGAAAGCCUGAUCCAGCAACGCCGCGUGAGGGAUGACGGCC
rnacentral:rRNA from 1 species